CCCAGACUCCUACGGGAGGCAGCAGUGGGGGAUAUUGCACAAUGGGGGGAACCCUGAUGCAGCGACGCCGCGUGGGUGAAGGAGCGUUUCGGCGCGUAAAGCCCUAUCGGCAGGGAAGAAGGAGGACGGUACCUGACUAAGAAGCCCCGGCUAACUACGUGCCAGCAGCCGCGGUAAUACGUAGGGGGCAAGCGUUAUCCGGAUUUACUGGGUGUAAAGGGGGCGCAGACGGCAGCGCAAGCCAGGAGUGAAAGCCCGGGGCCCAACCCCGGGACUGCUCUUGGAACUGCGCGGCUGGAGUGCAGGAGGGGCAGGCGGAAUUCCUGGUGUAGCGGUGAAAUGCGUAGAUAUCAGGAGGAACACCGGUGGCGAAGGCGGCCUGCUGGACUGCGACUGACGUUGAGGCCCGAAAGCGUGGGGAGCAAACAGGAUUAGAUACCCUUGUAA
rnacentral:rRNA from 1 species